rnacentral:tRNA from 1 species
ACACACCAGGAAAUAAAUCCUUUAUCGAUUUUGCAGGUCGAUGUUUUAUAUAAACUAUGGUGGG